rnacentral:rRNA from 1 species
UCUACACCUCUCUAUUCGUCGGCAGCGUCAGAUGUGUAUAAGAGACAGCUGUAGUUAUAUACCGAAACUAAAAAAUAAAAGGUAUUAUUAAAGAAGAGUUUUUAAUAAUAUUAUGUUGGUAGCAGAACGGGAAAUAGUAAAAUUAUGAAGAAAAAUCGUUAGAUUUUUUAUAGAAUUUUUUUUGAGAAUGUUGACAUGAGUAACGAAUUAAUAAUGAAACUUUGUAAAAAUAUCAUUAUCGCCGAAAAUUCAAGGUUUUCAAUGUAUAAAGGUUAACUUCAUUGAGUAAUACGGUCUCUAAGUUAAAAAUUGAAAAAUUUUGAUGAUGAGUGAUUUUGUUAAUAUUCAGAUUAUUAGUUAAGUGAAGAUUUUCAUGGCGUUGUUGUUUGAUUUAAAUGGCUUAUUAAACGAAAUAACCAUAUUAUCCAAGAAAUAUCUGACUAAAUGUAACCGUACUUAAACCGACACAGGUGAAUAGGUAGAGAAUACUAAGGCGAUUGGAAGAACAAUUUUGAAGGAACUCGGCAAAAUGAUUCCGUAACUUCGGGAGAAGGGAUACUCACAUUAAAAGUUUAUUUUGCUAAAAAAUUUAAAAUGUGAAUGUUUAGUGUAACAGAAUAGGGGUAGCGACUGUUUAAUAAAAACACAGGACUUUGCAAAAUAUUAUUAUGAUGUAUAAGGUCUGACGCCUGCCCAGUGAUGAGUAAUGAAAAAAAGAGGUGUUUAAUUAUGCUUUGAUUAUAAGUCUCAUUAAACGGCGGCUGUAACCCUGACGGUCCUAAGGUAGCGAAAUUCCUUGUCAAUUAAUUGUUGACCCGCAUGAAUGGCGUAACGACUUCCCCACUGUCUCCAAAAUUGAUCCAGUGAAAUUGCAUUUUACGUGAAGAUGCGUAAUAUUUAUAGCGGGACGGAAAGACCCUGUGCACCUUUACUAUAACUUUACAUUGAAAAAAAUAAGCUUAUAUAAAGAAUAGUUCUGAGUCUAUGAUCUAUUAAUUCCGGUUUUUAAGGGAGACGUCAGUGAGAUAUGAAUUAUAAGAAUAUUGAUUUCUAAUUUUUGAGAAAGACAAUGUAUGGUGGGUAGUUUAGCUGGGGCGGUUUCCUCCUAAAGAGUAACAGAGAGUACAAAGGUAAUUUCAAUCUAAUUUCUAUUAGAAAAAUGAGUGUAAUGGCAUAAAAUUGCUUAACUGUUAGAUUUACAUAUCAAACAGAGACAUUAUGUCGUCAUAGUGAUCCGGUGAUACUGAAUGGAAAGGUCAUCGAUUAACGGAUAAAAGGUACGCCAGGGAUAACAGGCUAAUUGUCCUUGAGAGCCAUAUCGACGGGAUAGUUUGGCACCUCGAUGUCGACUUAUCAGAUCCUGGUGUAGUAGGGGAUACCAAGGGUUCGGCUGUUCGCCGAUUAAAGUGGUACAUGAGUUGGGUUUAGAACGUCGUGAGACAGUUUGUCCCUAUCUACUAUAAAUGAAAGAAAAUUGUUAAACGCUGACUUUCGUACGAGAGGAGCAAGGAGGAAAGACCUAUUGUGAAUUUGUUGUCUUAACCAAAGGCAUUGCAGAGAAGCUACGUCUUAUUUUUAGAACUACUGAAUACAUUUUAAGUGGGAAAAUUAUUUCAAAAGCAUUUUCUAAACCAAGUUGAAGAUUACGACUAAAAUUAAUGAUUUAUAAAUUUUUAAAUGAUUUUAUAAUUAAUUUGAAUUAAUUUGAAUUAAUUUGAAUAA